rnacentral:rRNA from 2 species
CGCGUUGGCCCAAUUGAUUGACGGUGCUUGCACCUGAUUGAUUUUGGUCGCCAACGAGUGGCGGACGGGUGAGUAACACGUAGGUAACCUGCCCAGAAGCGGGGGACAACAUUUGGAAACAGAUGCUAAUACCGCAUAACAACGUUGUUCGCAUGAACAACGCUUAAAAGAUGGCUUCUCGCUAUCACUUCUGGAUGGACCUGCGGUGCAUUAGCUUGUUGGUGGGGUAACGGCCUACCAAGGCGAUGAUGCAUAGCCGAGUUGAGAGACUGAUCGGCCACAAUGGGACUGAGACACGGCCCAUACUCCUACGGGAGGCAGCAGUAGGGAAUCUUCCACAAUGGGCGCAAGCCUGAUGGAGCAACACCGCGUGAGUGAAGAAGGGUUUCGGCUCGUAAAGCUCUGUUGUUAAAGAAGAACACGUAUGAGAGUAACUGUUCAUACGUUGACGGUAUUUAACCAGAAAGUCACGGCUAACUACGUGCCAGCAGCCGCGGUAAUACGUAGGUGGCAAGCGUUAUCCGGAUUUAUUGGGCGUAAAGAGAGUGCAGGCGGUUUUCUAAGUCUGA